GACGAACGCUGGCGGCGUGCUUAACACAUGCAAGUCGAACGGAAAGGCCCUGCUUUUGUGGGGUGCUCGAGUGGCGAACGGGUGAGUAACACGUGAGUAACCUGCCCUUGACUUUGGGAUAACUUCAGGAAACUGGGGCUAAUACCGGAUAGGAGCUCCUGCUGCAUGGUGGGGGUUGGAAAGUUUCGGCGGUUGGGGAUGGACUCGCGGGUUAUCAGCUUGUUGGUGGGGUAGUGGCUUACCAAGGCUUUGACGGGUAGCCGGCCUGAGAGGGGGAACGGGCACAUUGGGACUGAGAUACGGCCCAGACGCCUACGGGAGGCAGCAGUGGGGAAUAUUGCACAAUGGGCGGAAGCCUGAUGCAGCAACGCCGCGUGCGGGAUGACGGCCUUCGGGUUGUAAACCGCUUUCGCCUGUGACGAAGCGUGAGUGACGGUAAUGGGUAAAGAAGCACCGGCUAACUACGUG
rnacentral:rRNA from 1 species